CCAACCCCAAGCGCCGCUGACCCCGAACGUCGCUGCGGGGUAGGUAGGGGGUGGGAGGGUGGAGGACCGCAGGCGAGAGGGAGAAGGAAGGGCGCCCGGGGAGCAGGCUGGCAGAGUGACCGGGAUUGAUGAGCGGCGCAGCUCUGGAGGGACGCGGGCGAGAGGGUCGCUCCUCGGGGAGAGGGCUGGGCGCCCUGCUGGUUGCCUCCACACCCCUCCUGCCGCCUUCCUCUCAGAACCCUAGCAGCUGUGUUCAGCGUCCCCCUCUUAAAGCAGCCACAUGCUCUGGGAAGACUGGCCCUCUGCGUCACAUCUGGCAGUCCCAUUCCUCUUGCUAAUGUGUGGUUCAGGAAUGGGCAGGUGGCCCAAUUCUGGUCAACAAGCCAUGAGAAGAAUCUGCUAGAGGUUUCCUUGCAUCUAAGAAAUGGUCUCUUUCGCCCUUGGACUUGGUUGGGUUUGGAUGUGAUGCCUCGAUCCUCUACAGCCUGAUGACAAAGACCACACCAAGGAUGGCAGAGUGGAAGGAUAAAAAGAACCAGGGCCUUCCAGCCUUUGUUGUAUGGCUGACUUAACCAACCUUGAAGGUGGCCUUACUCACGACUUCCUGUCAGAUGAGACAAAUUUCUUGGUUAAGAUACUUUGACAGGGGUUUUCCGUUUCAUACAACUGAAAGUAUCCUGACUUAAACACCUUUUGAGGUUCUGCCCCAAGCCUUUAUUGAUUUUCUCCUCUUGAAUCACCACCAGCAUUUCUGCAUUUCUCUUAGUACCACGUUUUUUCUAUUCCCCACACCCACCACCCCCUCUCUUCCCUAGCUGUUUCUGUCUCAAACAAUACAGGGAAACAUUUUAGGGUGUCUGACAGAUCACACCCACCCCUUUCUCAGACCUUCUCAACCACAAGGUGCUCUCCCACCUCCAGCGAGGUUUGUACUUCACAGUUGAUGGGGUCCCGGUAGAUUCAGGCUGGGCCAACCUGAGAGUCUGUCUCAGUAACAAAGGGAACCCUGCGCCCAGCUGAAGUGCAGGCAAUGUUUACCCGAAAGCUGGGGGUGGGUCCGCAUUUCCAGGAGGAAGCCAAGACUCUCCCUCAUCCUCUGCAGAAAGAGGAAGGAAGCCUAAACAGAGAAAAACAGUAGCAGAGUCUGACAGCCUGGGUGCUGUGUAUGGUUGUGCAUUUUGUGCUCUGAAAGGCUCCCAUCCCUGCUAAAGGCCUGCUUCUAGAUUUAAAGAGGACUCUGUCUUUGAGGUCUAUGAGAUUUUUAGAUGGAAUCAUUCAUCACAUCCCAUUUGGGCUUUAGAUACUUUGAAGUGAGUAUCUCAAAUUUUCAAAUCAAAGAACCCUGAUUAAAACAAAAGGUCUUCUCACCUCAAAUCCUUUAUGAAAUGAGGUCAACUUAAAAUACUUUUUAGUUAGCUAUGAUAUAAAAUUAAACUAUAUUUUUGUUAUAGUUAAUGAAUUAAUAUUGUAUCUUCUGUUCCUUAGUCGAAAAGUGAGCAGUUAAAUGGUCUAUUUCUCUAACAAAACAAUUAACUGAUUCCUCAGGAUUUACCGCCCACUGUGACCCUCUUGCCCUGUGCCCACACAUACCUACUAAAGACCAGUUUUCAGAUCCCCAGGAAUAACAUAAAAUGGGGCAUAUCUGUCUCGUAAAUAUGAUUGAAUAAGCAUAUGUAGAGCACAGUUGUUUCACUUUUAAGAAUCAAUUAUAAUCAUUUGUACAAUAAAAUGAAUUAUGUCUUUCACACAAU
rnacentral:lncRNA from 10 species